GUAGGUGGCGAGCGUUAUCCGGAUUUACUGGGCGUAAAGCGCGUGCAGGCGGUUCCGUAAGUCGGACGUGAAAGCUCCUGGCUUAACUGGGAGAGGCCGUUCGAUACUGCGGGACUUGAGGUCGGGAGAGGGACGUGGAAUUCCCGGUGUAGUGGUGGAAUGCGUAGAUAUCGGGAGGAACACCAGUGGCGAAGGCGGCGUCCUGGCCCGCACCUGACGCUAAGACGCGAAAGCGUGGGUAGCGAACGGGAUUAGAUACCUCGGUAGUCCACGCCGUAAACGGUGGAUACUAGGUGUUGGUGGCUACCGUCAUCAGUGCCCGUAGCUAACGCGUUAAGUAUCCCGCCUGGGGACUACGGCCGCAAGGCUA
rnacentral:rRNA from 1 species